CUGGGAGGAAGCUCGCCAUAGAGGCCACGUGCUGGGUGUUUGUCACUCGUCUUGCGCCUCUGGGAAGGUCUGAGAGAAGGGCCAUGUACCAUCCUAGCAGGGUGCCGCCUCUUGGAGGCGGGUGAGUUCCCAGCGAUGUGGGUCUCCGGCUCAGCCUGCGAUCGGGGCAGGAGAAGCGGUGGAAGGGCUCGAUCCUUUCCCCGUGGAUGCCUCUGUGGCGUGAUGGGGAUUUGGGAAUGACUCACGGCCAGCAACUCUGAGUACAAUGGGCAGAGGUGAAGCAAAGCGGCAGCAGCUUCAUAACCCAAUUCAGACUAGUCUCCCCCCAG
rnacentral:RNase_P_RNA from 1 species